rnacentral:rRNA from 1 species
GGGAAUAUUGGACAAUGGGCGAAAGCCUGAUCCAGCAAUGCCGCGUGUGUGAAGAAGGUCUUCGGAUUGUAAAGCACUUUCGGCGGGGACGAUGAUGACGGUACCCGCAGAAGAAGCCCCGGCUAACUUCGUGCCAGCAGCCGCGGUAAUACGAAGGGGGCUAGCGUUGCUCGGAAUGACUGGGCGUAAAGGGCGCGUAGGCGGUUCUGCAAGUUAGAUGUGAAAUUCCUGGGCUUAACCUGGGGGCUGCAUUUGAUACUGUAGGGCUUGAGUAUGGAAGAGGGUCGUGGAAUUCCCAGUGUAGAGGUGAAAUUCGUAGAUAUUGGGAAGAACACCGGUGGCGAAGGCGGCGACCUGGUCCAUAACUGACGCUGAGGCGCGAAAGCGUGGGGAGCAAAC